CGUCCAGACUCCUACGGGAGGCAGCAGUGGGGAAUAUUGCACAAUGGGGGAAACCCUGAUGCAGCGACGCCGCGUGAGCGAAGAAGUAUUUCGGUAUGUAAAGCUCUAUCAGCAGGGAAGAAAUUGACGGUACCUGAGUAAGAAGCUCCGGCUAAAUACGUGCCAGCAGCCGCGGUAAUACGUAUGGAGCAAGCGUUAUCCGGAUCUACUGGGUGUAAAGGGAGCGUAGGCGGCCUGCCAAGUCUGAUGUGAAAUACCGGAGCUCAACCCCGGGGCUGCAUUGGAAACUGGCAGGCUGGAGUGUCGGAGAGGCAGGCGGAAUUCCUAGUGUAGCGGUGAAAUGCGUAGAUAUUAGGAGGAGCACCAGUGGCGAAGGCGGCCUACUGGACGGUGACUGACGCUGAGGCUCGAAAGCGUGGGGAGCAAACAGGAUUAGAUACCCUGGUAACC
rnacentral:rRNA from 1 species